rnacentral:rRNA from 1 species
AUACGUAGGGGGCGAGCGUUGUCCGGAAUGAUUGGGCGUAAAGGGCGCGUAGGCGGCGCGGUAAGUCUGGAGUGAAAGUCCUGCUUUCAAGGUGGGAAUUGCUUUGGAUACUGCCGCGCUUGAGUGCAGGAGAGGUUAUCGGAAUUCCCGGUGUAGCGGUGAAAUGCGUAGAGAUCGGGAGGAACACCAGUGGCGAAGGCGGGUAACUGGACUGCAACUGAGGCUGAGGCGCGAAAGUGUGGGGAGCAAACAGGAUUAGAUACCCUGGUAGUCCACACUGUAAACGAUGAAUGCUAGGUGUAAGAGGUAUCGACCCCUUUUGUGCCGGAGUCAACACAAUAAGCAUUCCGCCUGGGGAGUACGGCCGCAAGGUUGAAACUCAAAUGAAUUGACGGGG